rnacentral:rRNA from 1 species
GAUGAACGCUGGCGGCGUGCCUAAUACAUGCAAGUCGAGCGAACAGAUGAGGAGCUUGCUCCUCUGACGUUAGCGGCGGACGGGUGAGUAACACGUGGAUAACCUACCUAUAAGACUGGGAUAACUUCGGGAAACCGGAGCUAAUACCGGAUAAUAUAUUGAACCGCAUGGUUCAAUAGUGAAAGACGGUUUUGCUGUCACUUAUAGAUGGAUCCGCGCCGCAUUAGCUAGUUGGUAAGGUAACGGCUUACCAAGGCAACGAUGCGUAGCCGACCUGAGAGGGGGCGCGGCCACACUGGAACUGAGACACGGUCCACACUCCUACGGGAGGCAGCAGUAGGGAAUCUUCCGAAAUGGGCGAAAGCCUGACGGAGCAACGCCGCGUGAGUGAUGAAGGUCUUCGGAUCGUAAAACUCUGUUAUUAGGGAAGAAAAAAUGUGUAAGUAACUAUGCACGUCUGGACGGUACCUAAUCAGAAAGCCACGGCUAACUACGUG